GUUGUUUUCAUUAAAGUUAAGUAAAUCUUUAAAGAAUCCUGUUGCCCUUGGUGUUACUCACUGAUUUUGAAAAAUAGCAUUUCUAGUGUAAUAACUUUGGCAGUGUCUUCUUCCAAAAAAGCCUUUGAGCUUUCAGCCAGACAAGGUUGAGACUGCCUGGAAAUACUAACUUGAGAGGAAUGUGGGCUGCUAUUUAAAUACACCUAAAAAAAAAAUCGGUAAGUAAUAGUCCAGGAAUUCUACAAACAGCUGCUGGAAUGACAUCCAAUUGUGCAAACAGAGAAUAAGUACUUUGAGUUCCCUUAAGGAGACUGUGGCCCUUGCUCUCCUUGGGAGAUUAUUAGAGGUAAGUGAUCAAUCCAGUUAUUGCUAAGGUAUCUGAAAGUUGCCACUUAUAUGUUUGAAAUUUUCUAU
rnacentral:lncRNA from 12 species